GGCUCAGAUUGAACGCUGGCGGCAGGCCUAACACAUGCAAGUCGAGCGGUAACAGGACUAGCUUGCUAGUUGCUGACGAGCGGCGGACGGGUGAGUAACGCGUAGGAAUCUGCCCGGUAGUUGGGGAUAGCCCGGAGAAAUCCGGAUUAAUACCGAAUAAUCUCUACGGAGGAAAGGGGGCUUUGGCUCUCGCUACUGGAUGAGCCUGCGUGAGAUUAGCUAGUUGGUGGGGUAAAGGCUCACCAAGGCGACGAUCUCUAGCUGGUCUGAGAGGAUGAUCAGCCACACUGGGACUGAGACACGGCCCAGACUCCUACGGGAGGCAGCAGUGGGGAAUAUUGGACAAUGGGGGCAACCCUGAUCCAGCCAUGCCGCGUGUGUGAAGAAGGCUUUCGGGUUGUAAAGCACUUUCAGACAGGAGGAAGGGGUUUCGGUUAAUACCCGAGAUCAUUGACGUUACUGUCAGAAGAAGCACCGGCUAACUCCGUGCCAGCAGCCGCGGUAAUACGGAGGGUGCGAGCGUUAAUCGGAAUUACUGGGCGUAAAGCGCGCGUAGGCGGCAAGUUAAGUUGGAUGUGAAAGCCCCGGGCUCAACCUGGGAAUUGCAUUCAAAACUGGCUCGCUUGAGUACGGCAGAGGAGUGUGGAAUUUCCGGUGUAGCGGUG
rnacentral:rRNA from 1 species